rnacentral:rRNA from 1 species
GACGAACGCUGGCGGCGUGCCUAAUACAUGCAAGUAGAACGCAGUUGCGAACGGGUGAGUAACGCGUAUGUAACUGCCUCAUAGCGGGGGAUAACUAUUGGAAACGUUAUCUAAUACCGCAUCCUGUGAGCUGGUUCUGCGUUGUAUUGGCUAGUUGGUGAGGUAAAGGCUCACCAAGGCGACGAUACAUAGCCGGGCUGGGAGGGUGAACGGCCAAAACGGGACUGGGAAACGGGCCAAGACCCUACGGGGGGCAAGAGGAGGGGAACAUCGGCAAACGGGGGAAGGCUGAACGAGCAACGCCGCGGGAGUGGAGAAGGGUUUCGGAUCGGAAAGCUCUGUUGUGAGGGAAGCGGUAACUAAACAAAAAGGAACGGCUAACUACGUGCCAGCAGCCGCGGUAAUAC